CCUGCAUUAUAUCUACUGGGGCAAUCAGGGUCACAAAACAUGUCACUUUAUUGAAAGAGGUUGGUCUUGAGCUUCUUCAAACACGCCGUCAAGUUCAUAGACUUACAUACUUGUACAAAAUUAAAAAUCAUCUUGUCCCAGAUUAUCUCUGUAAUUUUCAUCCAUUGUUCCAUCAUAAUACUGAAAACUAUAACUUAAGACG
rnacentral:lncRNA from 1 species